UCACGCUUUUGAUUUUAACUUGAUAAUUAAACUCGCGGAUCCAUAUUUUAUUUCCGUAAUGUCAAAGAACGUUACAAUAUUAUUAUCUGUGAUGU